UACUCUCACACCCCAAUCCCUUUGGAUUGGGAGUGGUGGACUUGGGUGCUGCUGCUUAACUGUGGCUCACCUAAAAUAUGUUAGUGCACCUCUUGGUUGGACAUAGUACGGCGUGAUAAGUGUCUUCGCCGGCUCCUCGCACAGAGGGUGGCCGAUCGGGAGCUCUGUUGCUUCAAACUGUCUUCGGACAAUCUUCUGACA
rnacentral:misc_RNA from 1 species